rnacentral:rRNA from 1 species
ACAACGCCGCGUGAGUGAUGAAGGCUUUCGGGUCGUAAAACUCUGUUGUUAGGGAAGAACAAGUACAAGAGUAACUGCUUGUACCUUGACGGUACCUAACCAGAAAGCCACGGCUAACUACGUGCCAGCAGCCGCGGUAAUACGUAGGUGGCAAGCGUUAUCCGGAAUUAUUGGGCGUAAAGCGCGCGCAGGCGGUUUCUUAAGUCUGAUGUGAAAGCCCCCGGCUCAACCGGGGAGGGUCAUUGGAAACUGGGGAACUUGAGUGCAGAAGAGGAGAGCGGAAUUCCACGUGUAGCGGUGAAAUGCGUAGAGAUGUGGAGGAACACCAGUGGCGAAGGCGGCUCUCUGGUCUGUAACUGACGCUGAGGCGCGAAAGCGUGGGGAGCGAACAGGAUUAGAUACCCUGGUAGUCCACGCCGUAAACGAUGAGUGCUAAGUGUUAGAGGGUUUCCGCCCUUUAGUGCUGCAGCAAACGCAUUAAGCACUCCGCCUGGGGAGUACGGCCGCAAGGCUGAAACUCAAAGGAAUUGACGG